rnacentral:rRNA from 1 species
GCGCGAAAACUUUACAAUGCUGGCAACAGCGAUAAGGGAACCUCGAGUGCCAGGUUACAAAUCUGGCUGUCGAGAUGCCUAAAAAGCAUUUCAUAGCAAGGGCCGGGCAAGACCGGUGCCAGCCGCCGCGGUAACACCGGCGGCUCGAGUGGUAACCGUUAUUAUUGGGUCUAAAGGGUCUGUAGCCGGCCGGAUAAGUCUCUUGAGAAAUCUGGCAGCUUAACUGUCAGGCUUUCAGGAGAUACUGUCUGGCUCGAGGCCGGGAG